CGCUAGUCCCGCCCGGCGGCGCAUGCGGCGCGGUAGGCGGGGGAUGGCCGGAGAUGGCGGCGGCGGGCCCGGCACGGCAGCGGUACCUGCUGCUGCUGGCACAGGAGCACCUCGAGUUCCGCCUGCCGGAAAUAACAUCUUUGCUCUCGCUUUGUGGCGGACAGUUUAGCAGUCAGCAGGAAGUCCGUGUAAAUUCUCCAUUUUGGAUUCUCAAUAUUCCUUCAGAAGAGAUGGCGAGGGGGCUGAUGAAACGGACAGUAUGUGCAAAGUCUAUAUUUGAGCUGUGGGGUCGUGGCAGAUCUGCAGGGGAACUCUAUGCAUCCUUGGAGAACUAUCCAAUGGACAAGAUGCUUCCAUAUCUACAGCCAGACUCGACAUAUAAAAUACAUAUUCAUACAUUUAAUAAAACACUGACCCAAGCACAGAAGAUAAAAAAGAUAGAUGCACUCGAAUUCCUACCAUUCAGAGGAAAGGUGAAUCUAAAGAAUCCAGAACACAUCUUCUGGAUUUUGGAAGAUUAUGGAACGGACCCUAACAACGUCCCGGAAGAACCUUUUGAUCUGUAUUUUGGUAGAUGGAUUGCAGAUGGCCAAAGAGAACUUAUUGAGUCCUACAGCAUAAAAAAGAGACACUUUAUUGGAAAUACUAGCAUGGAUGCCUGUCUGUCAUUCAUCAUGGCAAACCACGGGAGAGUAAAACCCAAUGAUAUUGUAUAUGAUCCAUUUGUUGGAACAGGUGGUCUCCUUAUCUCCUCAGCACACUUUGGAGCGUACGUCUGUGGUACUGAUAUAGAUUACAACACAAUCCAUGGAUUAGGCAAGGCAAGCAGGAAAAACCAGAAAUGGAGAGGGCCAGAUGAAAAUAUCAGAGCUAAUCUCCGACAAUAUGGUUUAGAAAAAUACUACCUCGACGCACUGGUUUCUGAUUCUUCAAGACCAAUAUGGCGAAAGGGGACGUUGUUUGAUGCAAUCAUUACAGACCCACCAUAUGGUAUCAGAGAAGCUACUCGCAGAACAGGCUCACAAAAGGAAUCAGUUAAAUCAUCUGAGAGAAGCACAGAAAAUCACAUCAUCAUUUCAUCCAGCUAUCAUCUGAGUGACAUCUUUUUUGACCUGUUGAAGUUUGCAGCAGAAUAUCUGGUGAUGGGAGGAAGAUUAGUUUACUGGCUGCCGAUAUACAGGCCUGAGUAUGUAUGCUUGAUUUCUGAUACACAGAAGAGAUCAUUCCCCGCCACCCGUGCCUGAAACUUAUUAGCAACUGUGAGCAGAUGCUCUCCAGCCACACAUCAAGGCGCCUGAUAACCAUGGAAAAGGUGAAGGAAUUCAAGGAUCAAGACCAGAAUUCUUACUUGUCGGAUGGUCAGUACACACCAUACAAAGGACACAAUUCUUUCCGUGAGAAGUAUUUCAGUGGUGUGACAAAAAGGAUUGCCAAGGAAGAAAAGGACAACCAGAAGUAAAAUAUAAUAUAAACAUAUUAAAAAAUGAGGAAGGAAUGAAGAUUGUGUUUCUUUGUAAAGACAUCUGGAUAUGAACAUUCAUUUGGACGCUUCAGAAAAAUAAAUACUGCUUUUAAUUUUAAAGCAAGAUGAAGCCCACAACACAGGUUGAGAGCAGUUCUUUUCAAUUACAUUUGUUUAUAGCGGAUUUUAUUGUACAAUGUUUCUGAGUUUUAUUUAAUUUAUAUUUGUGCUUUCAAGUCCUAAUGAUGAUUGACUAAAACCAUUAUUAUUGUUCUUUCACCAUUAACAUUUACAAAAAGUAGUGGUGUUAUUUGGCUUCUUAAACUGUGAACAUCUGGCUGUUUUAGAAACACGUGGUGGUGAUCAAGGAUUGCUUAUUAUGAAGAUCAGUUUCAUUUGCUUUGGGGUUUUUUUCCUGUUGUUUUCUGGUUUUCUUUUUUUCUUUUCCUAAGAGGUAUACAGUAGAACAGAGAAUUUUGUCAUGAGAUUUUAUUUCUAACUGUUGCAUGCAAUAACUGCUCAGAUUGCUCUGACUGAGGACUGCAGUGUUUAAAACAAACAAACAAAAAAACACAAACACACAAAGCAGCAAAUGUGUGUGUGCGCGCACGUGCACGCGCCUCUGUGACCUGACAAACGCUGGAGAGCCUGUUAAACCCUGUGAAGUUUGUCCACAUCUGAAGCUCAUCUGUACUUUGGAUUUGCUCUUGCAUUCCUAAACCUUGACUCUUGGUCAAGCCAACUGUCUGCAAUUUUUGGUUCAGAAAUUGAUAGUUAAAGCAGUAACAACAACAGCAUAAAAUCAGUAAUGGUUCCCUAAUGGUAUUAAGCCUAAUCAAAUCUUUGAAAUUGAAGCUGUAUUUGUCAAAGGGAAAACUUUGCUGAAUCCACACCAUGUCCAUCAUGAAAAUACCUCAUUUGAAAACCACUAAGCCCAUUAAUUUAGGAUGUUAAUGGCUCUUCUCAUUUUGGUGGUCAAAUAUUCUUCAAGAGGGCGUUGGUGAAUGUAUCUGCUUGCUCCAACUAGAGAAAGCUUUGCUUCUUAAUUUGAUGCAAGCUACUGACUGCGAUCAUUUUACAUUCUUUGUAGGUAAUAACCUAGAGCUUCUCCAAGCACCCAGUUGUACCUAGGCAAGUAGCAAUCAUUGUGCAUUUGCUUGAGUUCAUUAACUGGAUUUUCUCUUCUGUAUGUUGUGGUCCUCAGCUGCAGCAGGGAGAGCUCAAAUAUUCAAUGACAACUUUGUCUGACCUUCUGGAUCUAAUCUGUGGUGGUGUAGGUAGUUCUGAAACAGUGAUUUAUUUUCUCUGUUUACAUUAUAAAUCACUUUGUUUUGAGACUCAUAAUGUCAGCCGUCUAAUAGUUGUUCUGGGCUAAACUUGGAAGGAGAUGAAAGCUCAGAAGAUUUUCAAAAGCAGAAUUUGAAUUGAACACUUUCAAAUAUUACAUGAAGAAAUUACUGCUUCUGAAAAGCUGUCUUCAUGUAACUUCUGACUUCAAUUUUAGUAUUACACUUUGACAUUCAGUCUUUAUUACUUUACAAAUUAAAAUUACUUUCUGUUCUUCAUAGGCAGGGAAUUUUUGUAGAUGGAUUUAUUAUGCAUUUAUAACUUCGUUUUCUUAAAAGUUACCCUACAUAGACAUGAUCUAAAUGGUUAUACAAGAUGUAAGGUAGUGGCAAAUCUGGCUCUGUCUAUUUAAAGAGAAUGAUUUAGUUUAUUUCUCCUCUUCUUGGUCCAACUUUUAGUCCAUUCAGCAGCGGUGGUGUGGCUUCUCUUUAGCAGUUCAUACAUAACAGCUCUAUCAUUACAGAAGAAUACCAUUUUGAACAGAAACUGUAAGUGUAUUUGGGGUACUACAUCAACGUACGCUAAUCAAAAAAGUUUGGAAUUGAAAUCAGAUGUUCAAGCUCUGCUGAUCCCCAACAUUAAAGCUAUCAUUUGGAAGUAUUUCUCAUGUCUAAACUUCUCCUUGUUUAAUGUGCAUACUUCAGACAAUCGUAUGUGCAGACGUGCAAAGCAGAGGCGUUUAUAGCUAUAGAGCUGGGACACAGCCCUUGUGCUGUCUCUAGCGAAGGACUGACAAGCGGGUGAGUUAUCCUUUCGACAGGAUUUGGCCACCGAUGGCCGCGGUUUCUGGCGCUUUCAUUCAAUCUGGUUCCAUUCAGUCUCUUUCUGUGAAGUUCCAGUUUCCUGUCCCUGGCAGGGAGGGUCAGUUCACAAGCCCGCUCUGAACUCAUUCCGUUGUCAUUCUCUCCUUUGGGGUGGUUUGUGCCAUUUUCCAGUUUUGAAAAAUAAACGUUAUUUUUGGAGCGCGUUGUUGCACUGCAGUGAAUUGGAUGGAGGGAGGAGCUGAAGUCAGCUGCAAGGUCAUACGGGCAGAGGCCCUCUCUUGCUGUCGGGAGCACUUUAUUGAGUUAAGAAACGGAACGAGUCCUCGUCUUUUCAUGGAAUCCCUUCACUUGAUGGUGAAAACAGGUUUGACAGAACGUCAAGGUUCAAUGGGGUCUUGCAGGUAACAAGGACCUAGAAAUAUUGUUGAAAUGAACAGGAGUGUUGAAGAAAAAGAGUUAAUAUAGCUUUCAAGAUUAAAAACAAAACAAAAAAAAAAAAAGAAAAAAAAUGUUAUGAGUUCAACUCUCAUUCAGUAUCGGAGAACUUGCAUGGAAACAGGACAUAGAUAUAAAAAUGUUAGCAGUUGUUUCUGUUGCUUCUGCUGCUUCUUGAUCCUUUCCUUAAAACAAACAAACAAAAACUAAACAUAGAGCAUUUUGGGAGGUCUCAGCAGAGCAUUCUCAGUCUUUAAAGCUAUGACACCAAUUCAAAAAAGCUGAGGUUCAGUUGUUUCAACUCUUCAGUUCAUUGAGAGGAAUCAAGGAGAUGUGCCAGCCUGCUGAAUGUCUCUGAGAAAGUGCAGUCUUCCCUUUAAACCAAGCUAAGAAACCAGUGUCUGUUACUGGUACAGCUAAACCUAGAUCUCACCUAGCACAGCAAGCUUCUUGUUUUCAGAAUGCUUUCACUGGACUUCCUGCUGGUGCUACGCAAUACAGCAACUUCCACCCACUGGACAGGGGCAUGGGAGGUCUUGAUGUGGAGCCUUUCUUUCUCUCGGCCUCUUUUCAACAGUCCAGUAAGACUGUGGUAGAUGUCCUUAAUUGUUGGACCUCUCUUCUCCUUUUUCUGUUAGCCUAAUAAGCAGUGCUUUAGCUCAAGAGUUGUGCCUUACAAGCAGGUUAUUUGUAUCCAUUAAUGUGGAAGUUGACAAAAGUAAAGUCUAGUUAUGAUUUCUCAAUCAAGGUUCGCCUGCUUGAAAAUACUGAAGAUAUAAGUGCACAUCCUCUUCAGCUGUUCUGACACUACUGUAGAGCUUCUGCAGGGAGGAAACACCUUAAUAAUUCUGAAUCUUGGUUUUCCUUCCAAGACUAUGAUUUAAGAGCUCUUCAUUAAUGGCUAUUUCCAGCAUCCCUAGAACAGCUUCAGGCCUUGCGGUCACCAACCAGAGAAGUGUGUCACUGGAAAGGUGACUGUGACUUUGCAUCGCCCUCCAGCCAAAGGUCUUUCAGGCACAAAAAUGUCCUCUGGGGCAGGGCAUGACUGGAGCUGAUGAUGUGUGGUGGUUCUUUCCCUGUUGCACAGCAAGCAGCUCUGGGUUAGCUGACAGAGGACUGAAAAAGGCUCCAAGAAGCAGAGGCUGUUCACUGCUGGCUCAGCUCCCGUCGCCACCAUGGUUCUCUUUUCUGACUCUCCUUUCCACUCCUUCAUCAGAGCUCAGAAGAAAGUUUGAAAGCAUUCUUUCUUUGCUGUUUAGCUUGGUCUAAAGUCUAAACUGGGGUCCAAAGUUAAGUGAGUCUGUCUUUUCAGUUUGGAAAUUCCUUCUUUGCUCCUAAAAAAAGUGGAGUUUGGGGUAGCUGGGAGAAGGAAGUGGCCAGUAUCCUUUUCUUUUUUGUCUGCUAUUUGGAAAAUAAAUGUGUUUGGUUUUUUUUCAUCCUUGUUUGCUAAUACUGCUGAUGUUAGUGAUUAUGUUAUUUAAAACAGCAAAAUGUAUCUCACCUGCCUCCAUGCUGCCUUUUAAAUAUAUUUCUCUGGUGUUCUUUUCUUUGCUUA